rnacentral:lncRNA from 1 species
AAUUUAUACUAAGUGUUGAGGGAUCUGAGAGGGAAUGGGGGGCCCGGGGGGUGGGGUGGGGGAGGCCCGAUUCUCCUUUAAUCACUUACAAAACAUUUGACAAGACUAUCACCGAGCUGGUGAGGCUGGUUUCCAAAUGCCGUUUUGUUUUGGCUACAGGGAAAGCAAUUGCCUUUUACAAGCUGGAGUGAAUAGUUCAGCUGGAAAGGGGAGUCCGAAGAUGUGAGGCCCAAAGUGAACUUCGCUACUGUGCUUAGUUGUUCACAUAUGGUUUGCGGACCCUGGAAAGUCCAGCCUGAAUUCCUGAGGGAUGCUGGAAGGAGUGAAGUGAGAGACUGACACGUGUUCCCAUCCCAUCCCUGUAGCCUGGAGACAUUUCCAGCUGAAAGAAAAGUAUAAAAGACACAGUAACUGUGAAAUGCUGAAGAUUCCUCAAAUCAUUCUUCAGCCCUCACUUUGGUCAUGAGACGAGGCAAAAGGUGGAGAACGAUUUAACCUGGGCCACCUGGUGAAGCCCUUGCAAAGUCUACAGCAGAGGUCAACCUUCUGAGCAGCAAGGAGCAGCGAGUCCUGGGCCCCGUCACUUGGACCAUCACUGACAGCAGCUCUGGUCCAGAGCAUUCAGGAGGGGGCCGAAUGAUGCAGGAGAAACAGGGUAACAUGCUGUAUGAUGACUCACCGUGGCAGACUUAUAAUCACUUUUUAACGAGGUGAAUAUGUUCUUCUCCACUCAGCACAGGAAGUAAAGGAAUCAAAUGAGAAAGCCGGGAGCUCUAUGAAGAGAAAUGAGAAAGGCGGAGAUGUGGAGGGAGUGACCACUGGCUUUGCAUUCUUUUCAUAUUUACCCCUUGAAAUGCUUGCUAGUUCAAAACCAGAUCUAGGCACCUUCAUGAAUAUUAGCUUGCCCUAUGCUCACAAAAUCCAUGAGCUGCAUCUUAUAUUGAUUUUAUAGUUGUGGAAACUCAAAAUAAGAGGGGAAAUGAUUUCCUAGGAUCGCACAUAGGAAGUUGAUCAAGCCACCGGAACUGAAUCCACAUCUUCUGAUUCACCUUUUCUUUUUUUCUGUAACCAUUGUUUCUAAUAAUUUCAUGAAAUACCACAAAAUGUCUUGUGAUUUUCUCAAAAUAUUUUAAACAGUUCAUGAGUUUCUGUACUCCAGCUUUCAGUAGUUACUUCCUUUCCUGAAUUCUUAAGCUCUCAUUAUUUAAAUAGCUUGAUUUUUCUAUUAUACUUUGUCUGAGAAUGAGAAUAUAAGUACCCAGGACAGGAGCUGUCUUCAUUUUGUCCUUCUGUCUUUCAAAAUAUCAUGGGUGCCUAUUGAUUCAUACUGGUUGUUCAAUAAACAUUUGUUGAACCAA